GCCUGGGUGGCUCAGUCAGUUGAGCAUCUGACUUCAGCUCAGGUCAUGAUCUCGCGGUUUGUGGGUUUGAGCCCCAGGUU
rfam:Felis catus isolate Cinnamon breed Abyssinian chromosome B3, whole genome shotgun sequence.